AACUGGCAGCAGAAUUCAGACUUCUAUUAAGUCAGAUAGAAAUCAUCUCACUCAGUAAUCUGGAAAGAUGACUUGAGAUUUGUCAGAAUAACAAAACAAUCCAGCAACCUAGAUAAAACUUGGAAUGAAGAACCAAAAAAGCACCUUUGAAAAUAUGAGCUUCUGAGAAACCUGGUAGCAAUUGACCUGAGUAGCAAAAACAUGAUAUGACUCAGAUAUCAAGGAGUCACUCAAAAGCUCAGAUGAGGCUUUAGCAUGCUGCCUGGAGAUGGGAGCCUGUCCACCAG